GACGAACGCUGGCGGCGUGCCUAAUACAUGCAAGUAGAACGCUGAAGAGAGGAGCUUACUCUUCUUGGAUGAGUUGCGAACGGGUGAGUAACGCGUAGGUAACCUGCCUUGUAGCGGGGGAUAACUAUUGGAGACGAUAGCUAAUACCGCAUAACAAUGGACGACACAUGUCAUUUAUUUGAAAGGGGCAAUUGCUCCACUACAAGAUGGACCUGCGUUGUAUUAGCUAGUAGGUGAGGUAAUGGCUCACCUAGGCGACGAUACAUAGCCGACCUGAGAGGGUGAUCGGCCACACUGGGACUGAGACACGGCCCAGACUCCUACGGGAGGCAGCAGUAGGGAAUCUUCGGCAAUGGGGGCAACCCUGACCGAGCAACGCCGCGUGAGUGAAGAAGGUUUUCGGAUCGUAAAGCUCUGUUGUAAGUCAAGAACGGGUGUGAGAGUGGAAAGUUCACACUGUGACGGUAGCUUACCAGAAAGGGACGGCUAACUACGUG
rnacentral:rRNA from 1 species